rnacentral:rRNA from 1 species
ACUCAAAUGAAUUGACGGGGGCCCGCACAAGCGGCGGAGCAUGUUGCUUAAUUCGACGCAACGCGAAGAACCUUACCAAGGCUUGACAUUGCCCGGAAACACUCAGAGAUGGGUGCCUCUUCGGAUCGGGUGACAGGUGGUGCAUGGCUGUCGUCAGCUCGUGUCGUGAGAUGUUGGGUUAAGUCCCGCAACGAGCGCAACCCUUGUUCAAUGUUGCCAGCAACACCUUCGGGUGGUUGGGGACUCAUUGGAGACUGCCGGGGUCAACUCGGAGGAAGGUGGGGAUGACGUCAAGUCAUCAUGCCCCUUAUGUCUUGGGCUGCAAACAUGCUACAAUGGCCGGUACAGAGGGCUGCGAUACCGCAAGGUGGAGCGAAUCCCUAAAAGCCGGUCUCAGUUCGGAUUGGGGUCUGCAACUCGACCCCAUGAAGUCGGAGUCGCUAGUAAUCGCAGAUCAGCAACGCUGCGGUGAAUACGUUCCCGGGCCUUGUACACACCGCCCGU